ensembl:lncRNA
UGUCCCGGCCCCGCUGUCCCGGCCCCGCUGUCCCGGCCCCGCUGUCCCGGGGCCGCUGUCCCGGCCCCGCUGUCCCGGCCCCGCUGUCCCGGGCCCGCUGUCCCGGCCCCGCUGUCCCGGGCCCGCUGUCCCGGUGACCCCGCCCGGCCCCGCCGCCGCUGCCCCGCGCGGCCCACAGGGGGCGCCCUCGGCCCAGGCUUCCCCUCGGCGGCGCGCGCGGCCCCGCGCAGGUGAGCGCGACCCCGCGGGGGCCCGGCCGGGGCGCGGAGCGGCCGCGGGGACGCCUCGGUGCUGCCGCCUCGGUGCUGCCGCCUCGGUGGCGACGCCUCGGUGCUGCCGCCUCGGUGCUGCCGCGGCCGCCGAUGUGCUCCGGGCUUCUCCCCCCGCCCCCUCGGCCCCUGGCCGCUGGUCCCCGGGCAGGGCUUCUGGCGGGAGCCGGAUGGGAAUCUCUCCCGACCCCUGCGAGGGGUGUCACAGCCAUCCUCUUUGCCUCGGUGCCCGCUCCCCCUCCAUCCCCCGCCAAAGCGCUGCCCCGCGAAGGCGCGCAAGAAAACCCGGUCCCCGGGCGCGGGCAGGGCCGGCUCUGCUGCCGGCUCCCCGCCUCGGCUGCGGGAGCGCAGCGGUCCCGUUAUUUCCCCUCCCGGCUCCCCUCGGCCGCCGCCCCGGUCCCCCUCCCCCUGCUGCCUCCGACAGGCUCCGCGUCCCUGCUGCCCCACGGAAAACACACACAGUCCGCGGCACCCGCCCCGGCUACCCGGCCCAUUCAAACAAACAAACAGAAACCCGCCCCAUCGCAAAGCCAACCGACGGGGGGAAAAAUUAGCAGGAGGAGAUCCGAGAAGAUAAGCGAGGAGCAAGCAGCUUCCCCGAGACCUUUCACUGCGGAUCCGAGAGGGAACAUCAGACGCGUAAAAAAAGAAAAACAAAAAACAAAAACAAAAACCAAAAAGCCAAACAAAACAAAAAAAACCCCAAACAAAACAAAACACAGCGUUCAAGCCAGCACAAGGCGAGCGAAAGAUCAAAAAGACGCAGAGGGAGACAGAUUAACUGGAGCAGCAGCAGCAGCAACAACAACAAAAAUCACACUUAAAAUAAUAAUAACAAUAAUAAUAAUAAAACCCAAACCACCAACAAGGGAGAUAUUGUUUAAAAGAGCAAGCGAGGGAGCGAGCCGAAGAGCUGGUCUGACCGAGUGGAUCCGUGCAGCUUCUCCUGGGAUCGCCGGGAUCGCGCCGCUUCUCCGCUCCGCGUCGCGCAGCGUGCGGUGCCCUGCCCGCGGCGGGGGUCCCCGGGCGCCGCCACCGCAUCCGCGCCGGACUCCGGACCCUCCGCGCUGCUUUGAAAAGAAAAGCAUCUCGCUAAUAAUAAGCGGGACGGUGGGGGAAGAAGACUCGCAACGGUGGAGCUGCCAGCCGCGCACCCUCUGCCCGCCGCCCCCGGCUCCCUCCCCAGCUAUGCUCCGGGUCAACUUUGAUGGCACGUUGAGAAGCAGCGGGCGCUGAAGAGGGACAACCGAGCGGCGCGGAGCCGACCUGCUCAGAGACCUGCACCCACGGAUUGUCUUGCGGGGGCGGAGUGGGCGGGGGGGUACAAGUGGCAUUUCUCCCCCCCCCUCCUUCCAGGCUAUAAAUUGGAUUGUAUAUAAAUCUGCUUCGUUUAUCUCCCUGACCCCCCUCAAUGACGCUGGACUAGAGAGCUCCUCUCCGCGGCCCGCCCGGACCUGCCGAAGCGAGCGAUGGACCACGAGCGACUGCGCCCGGGGAUGCCCCUCUGAAGCGACGCGGGGCACCGGGGCAGAGCGGCGCCGCCUCUCCCCUGCUCCCCGGAUCCCCUCGCACCUCCGGCUCGCUCCCCGCUCCCCCUCCCUCCUCCCCGGGCUCCGCAGCCACCCCCUCACCUGCUGCCGUCCCCCUCCCCCGUGGAGCCGGGCUCUCUCCGUGCACGCCAAGCCUGUUCCCCCCCCGCCGCCAACUUCGCCCUCGGUGCCUGCGCGUGCAGCCUCCCCCUCCGCCUCCCCGGCGGCACACGCCGCUUCCCCGGGCGCCCCCUCCCUCCGCCGCGGCUCCCCCCCUGCGCGGAGCGGUUGCGGCCCCCCAGCUUGGCUGCCACCGCCC